UACAGAGGGUGCGAGCGUUAAUCGGAAUUACUGGGCGUAAAGCGUGCGUAGACGGUGGCGUAAGUCGGGUGUGAAAGCCCCGGGCUCAACCUGGGAAUUGCAUUCGAGACUGUGCCGCUAGGGUGCGGAAGAGGGAAGCGGAAUUUCCGGUGUAGCGGUGAAAUUCGUAGAUAUUCGGAAGAACACCAGUGGCGAAGGCGACUCACUGGACACGUAUUGACGCUGAGGUGCGAAAGCGUGGGGAGCAAACAGG
rnacentral:rRNA from 1 species